rnacentral:lncRNA from 1 species
UUGAGACGGAGUCUCGCUCUGUCGCCUAGGCUGGAGUGCAGUGGUGCGAUCUCGGCUCACUGCAAUCUCCGCCUCCUGGGUUCAAGCAAUCAUCCUGCCUCAGCCUCCCCAGUACCUGGGAUUACAGGUGCUUAUUACCACACUCGGCGAAUUUUUUGUGUUUUUAGUAGAGACGGGGUUUCACCAUGUUAGCCAGCAUGGUCUCGAUCUCCUAAACUUCGUGAUCCGCCCGCCUCAGCCUCCCAAAGUGCUGGAUUACAGGUGUGAGCCACCUCGCCUGCCCUCUUUUUUUUUUUUUAUUUUGAGAUUAAAACUAAUUCUUUUAAAGUCACUACUCAGCUGAAAUUUGGCCUGAUUAUAAAUGUUGAUAAUAAUUUCUUCCUGGCUCAACAAAGUUGUUGAGCUUCCUUCUGUGCACACAUUGAAAGAAAACCAGAAAUUGUACAGUCGUGAUAUGAAUUAGAGAAGGAACAGGUGGAAAAGGAUGGCAACACACAGAGUCCGGGGGACACACGGCCUUAAGAUGAAGUGAACGAGUAGACACUGAAUAGGAUCCACGUAAAUGAACGGCCAUUUCAAAUCAUUCACAUCCCAAACGGAGGUUCAUCUGUCUUCUGGUUGGUGAAUUAUAUUUAUUAGGAUCUUAUUUUUAGCAUUUCAUUACAAGUAAUAGGUUUGGGUACCUUAUUUUUAUUGUUUUUACUCAUCAGUUAUGAAUAAGGCAUACCUUAGAAACUUGGGUUAAAUUUUUUCAAGUUAUACCAGUCAACUUGGUUUAAAUACAACUGUACUAACUUGCUUUAUCAUGUUUCCUGUUUAAUUGGAUGAGAAUUACAUGCACUUAUUCAGUUGUUCUUUGUGUUUAUAGGAAAAACUCUGUUCUCAGCUACCUCAUUAUGUAGUAUUGUGCUUGAUCCCCUGCCAAUUGAGAAGAAUUCAACACAUUCUGUUCUUUAACAAAAGCUUGGAAGCAGGCAGUCAGAGGCCUUGAGGAAUACAAUUCUCUAAGGCCUGUUUUCCAUUUUACUACUUAAAAAAAAAAAAAAAAGAAAAGAAAAAAAAGCACUUACAACCAGGAGGAAUAAUAAUUCUCCUAGAGUUGCUGCAAACUGAUUACUUGAAACUCAACUUGAACUUUAAAGAGUCUUUAAAAGGCUGUUUUCAUAAUGCAGAAAAGUAGUCUAUUUAAACGCCACUGCUGUGUAAAACAGGGGGCUCGAUUUCCAUUCUUGUUAGCAUCAGACAAGAAAAUGUGUCUAUCUGUCAUCUGACCCAGUAUUUGGGAUUUGGGUGCUUGAGGAUACUAUUUUUUUCAUUUCUUAUAAGGUGCUAUUGUUUCCCAGAAAUCUUUAAUUUUGAUGAAAAUCUACUCAUUGCUAAGAUCCUCCUCACUUAAAGUGUUUCCUCAGUGCAGAGUUGAGGUUGGCAGAACUAUAUAGAGUUGGAUGAUACUGAAAAUCAUGAAUGAUGUGAUUUGUUCCAUGUAUCUGUGGAACAUCCCUCACCUUCCUCCGGUAUGCGCCUUCUGCACUCCACACGUGGUCGCCUCCAUCCUCCCUAGUGUCUGUCAGCUUGCCUGGUCACCAAGUCAGGAGGAAGAAGAUGAGGAGGCUCACCAGUUGUAGGCAAGACUCUUCCUCUCGGGAGAUCUUGUAAUAAUGGCCCAGUUUCAGGGCACAGUUGUACACAUUCUACUUAAAUGGAGGAGUUCAGUGAUGCCGUGGCCAAAAGAGUUAUGCCCAUUUCUAAAAGCCUGGCAUAUUUGGUAUAACUUAAGCACCAGGUAAAAUCUGGUGCUUAAGUUGUACCAAGUAUAGCCAAGUUUAACUGUCGUUGUGUAUUAAUAAGAUUUAAUUUUUAUGCUUGUGCUUUUCAGAGUAAAGGGCUUGCUUUCAAUAGUAGAAUGACAAAGCUUCUCCUCCAAUGACAAUCUGUUAGCACCCUGUUGACUUAGCUCAGGACAUGAGACUGACUUAGCUCAGGACAUGAGACAUUUCCUGGAAGUGAUUUCCAUGAGAACAAAGGCUUAUUCCUUUAACUUAAACCCCAAACUUUGUUAUUUUAAUUAUUUUCAGGCAAUCAUCUUUAUAUACUUUCCUUACAAACCCAGUGGUUGAGAGCAUAGGCCUUGGUGGCAGGUGCAUCUGGGCUUGGGGGCUUCUGCCACACUUACUACUCUGUGACUUGGGAAGCUCUUAAGGCUCCCAAGGCUCCGUUUCUUAUGUGGAAGAAGAAUAGCAGGAGGACUCACCUCUGCGGGUUGUUGUGAGGAUUAACUGGGUGAUGACUGUAAGCAGCUGGGAGAGUGCCUUGUGUGCAGUGACCACUGUUGCUGCCACCAUGAUUAUGUCACCUCUCAACAUGGGGUGGUGGGAGGCCCUGUGGAUGAGGCCAAGGCUGCCUGCACUGAGUGUCCCAGGCCUUAUAGCUUUCCACAUUCUCACGUCUGCUGCCACAUGAUAUACAAGUAAAUGUAUUAGAAGUUGGUGUUCAUAAAAUACUUUUUUUUUUUUUUUUUUUUGAGAUGGAGUCUCGCUCCGUCACCCAGGCUGGAGUGCAGUGGCGCCAUCUCCCAGGCUCAAGGGAUCCUCCUGCCUCGGCCUGCCAAGUAGCUGGGACUACAAGUGCACACCAGUAUGCCCAGCUAAUUUUUUGUAUUUUUAGAACAGGUGUGGUUUCACCAUAUUGCCCAGGCUGGUCUCGAGCUCCUGAGCUCAGGCAAUCCGCCUGCCUCAACCUCCCAAAGUGCUGGGAUUACAGGUGUGAGCAUCCAGCCAGAAAAUGAUUUGCUUUCUAGACCCAUAUCACCUCUCUCCAUCUACAUCUCUAGUAUUUAAAUUCAACACAAUUCUAGAUAGCUGAAACAGCCCAAAAUAUGUGUUUAGAAUACUUAGAGUUUGUUAUAAAUAACCCUCUGUUUAGAAUUUGCCCAGUGAAAUUCUCUAAUAAUACUUAAAACUCUUUACUAAAGUUGAAUUUUCCUUUUUUUUCAUUGAAAUAGCAAAGGUAGUAAUCUGUAUUGGUCAAAGAAACGAGAUAAUUCCUAGAUCUCUGUUUUAGACCAGUAGACCUAACUGUGCUUUCUUAACUUGGAUGUUACAUGAAACUUAAAAACAAACAAAUAUGUGUUACAAGUACUUGUGUGUACGUGCAUGUGUGUUUGUGCAUGUGUCUGUGUGUGUGGAACUUUUGUACCUUUGCAUAAAGAAGGUUAUUUAACAAAGUGGUACAAACAGUGAACUACUUAAUCCUUCUAUGGUAUCAUACACUUCUUUUCCUGGUUAGGUUAUGAGACUGGCAGAGGUAGGAGUAUAUAAUGUGCUCAGCUUGUCUUGAUUUCAAUAAGACAUUUGAUAAAGUCAUUCUUGAUCUCUGAAUGUGAAAAGGAAGUAGAACAGCCGGGCGCGGUGGCUCACGCCUGUAAUCCCAGGACUUUGGGAGGCCAAGGCGGGCAGAUCACCUGAGGUCGGCAGUUUGAGACCAGCCUGACCAACGUGGAGAAACCCCGUCUCUAUUAAAAAUACAAAAUUAGCCGGGCAUGGUGGCACAUGUCUGUAAUCCCAGCUACUCGGGAGGCUGAGGCAGGAGAAUCUCUUGAACCCAGGAGGCGGAGGUUGCGGUGAGCCGAGAUGGUGCCGUUGCACUCCAGCCGGGCAACAAGGGCUAAACUCCAUCUCAAAAGAAAAGAAAGAAAGGGAAGUAGAAGUAGGAUUUAACAAAGGACCGAGAAGUCGGCUGAAUAGCCAGGUUCAGACAGUGUUGGCAAGAACGGAUCUUUGGCAAGAUCACUUAAGGUGAGCUACUCUAGCAGCAUCCUGUUUGACAUUUGUAUCCAUAACUUGAAUAAAAAUAUAGAAGGCAAAGAAGAGUGCUGGGCAAGAUGUGUUGGGUGUUAGAUCUGCAAUACUCUUCAUAGUGUAAUGGCUAAAUGUAAAGUCUUACGUCUCGGUUCAAGAAAGCACGUUGCUAUAUGAAAUUUCAGAAAAAAGUUUUGUUGCGGGGGGUGGGAUAUUGAUCAUUUGAACAUAUGCCAGUUGUUUCUCCUGCCCUAGGGGAGGUUGGCACGGCAACCUUCCCACUCCGUAGGUGGGUAGCCUUGCUGAUGGGGCACGUCGUCACCAAGGGACCUGAUUGUUGUCAUGGUUUUGUCUUGUCCUCCUCCCUGGUGAAAGUCUACUGCAGUUUUAUUCUCAGCUCUGGAAGGAGAGGGAACGAGCCUCUGCCUGUGUGUCCUGACCCCUCUUGCCUUGUUUUUGAUCUGCUCAGGCCGGGUGCAGUGGCUCACGCCUGUAAUCCCAGCACUUUGGGAGGCAAAGGCAGGUGGAUCACUUGAGGUCAGGAGUUCAAGACUAGCCUGGCCAACAUGGUGAAACCCCGUCUCUACUAAAAAUACAAAAAUUAGCCGAGUGUGUUGGUGGGCCCCUGUAAUCCCAGCUACUCGGGAGGUUGAGGGAGGAGAAUCACUUGACCCCAGGAGGCAGAGGUUGAAGUGAGCCAGGAUUGUGCCACUGUACUCCAGCCUGGGCGACAGAGGGGGACUCUGUCUCACAAAAAAAUAAAAAAUUAAAAAAAAAGGUCUGCUCAGAAAUAGGGGAAACACGGGAUCAAGAUCAUUAGAGAUUUAUAGGCUGGGAUGCACACCAUGUCUUCAGAGCUAGCCGGCUGUGUCUUCUCCCCGUUUCUUUCACUGGUGAAUAACCUUUCGUUUGAACCAGCCUUGAUUGUUCUCUCCAUGUUCCACUGUGGCUCCCCAUGGACACUGCUAGGUGGAAUCUCUGAGAAAACAGGCACUUCGCAGUCGGCGCAUCUUUCUCUGCCAGCUUAGGGAUUGCCGUCAAGGUGGAGGAAGGGUAUUUUGGCCAUGUUCGGAGUCGUUGUUUUUACUCACUCUUCUUGGGAUAGCUUUCCCACCCUGCCCUCUGCUCCUCUGUCCCAACCCUCUUCCAGCCUGGUUUUUUUACUGCUUGAAUUAUGUAUCCAAAAUAAAAAGGAAAAGAAAGGUGCAGUUGGGGCGGGUUGUUGGGGGCGAGGAGAAUAGCCCUUCUGGUUCUUCAGACCACAUAAUGGCCAGAGCAUGAGCCUCACAGAUCCCUGAGCAGACCUGCAUACUAGCACUUUCCACAACCAGCUGGCCCUGGCUGUGAGAGUCAGAUCUGUCCCCAAGGCUCCAGGUCAGAACUUGGACCCAGGUGCCUUCUGAGGCACCGCCAAGGACACAUCCCAGCGCCUUAGGCACCUGUAGGCUAGAAUGACACCUUCCAGGCCAGCCCCAGAGGCCCUCAGGGCUCCCCCUCCAAGCCGGGAGGGCAGGCAGGCACAGGCCCCGCUCACUACCUCAGCACCCAGUGCAGCCCCAGGCUCCCGGACGUGCUCGGCCCGGUGGCCUCUUGUGUGACAGGCCCUCUGCCAUGUCUGUCCGCAGAGCCGGGUGGGGACCCUCCGUGUGGGUCCUCCUCUGUCCCUUUGCAGCUCGCAUUCGCCAGAGCGGAGCGCAGCCCUUGUUUCCUUCUUUCCUCUUCAGCUCUGACUUAAAAACACACUAUGUUCCAAAUCGUUGUGGGAUCGGAAACUAGAACUGCUUGUUUCCAGGAGAGACCACCUUUUCAUAUUUUUUUUAAAAGGAAUUUGUGCUUCAAAAGAAACUCCAAAAAAUAAAUUUAUUGUUAGUCUAGCAUAUGCUCAUUGAAAUUGACUUAUGUUUUAUUUUAAAAAAUCAUGUAGGAUCUGGUACAUGGGGCGGGCAAAAGGGUAUCAUCAGCUUAAGAAGUAAAGAAGUGAGCCUUCCAUUUGUGUGGGUGAUAACAUCUUUUUCCUAGAUCGUACCUCAAAAUUCAGGCUCUCCAUGAAAACAAAGAUAAUCUGAAUAAAAAUUGUGUGUUGGGAAAUGUAUCAAGUGACCUUCAGUUAAGAAAAGCACAGGCUGUUUAUUAGCACAACUUGCUUCAUUAAAUAAUUCGUGGCUUUUUCUGCCACUGGGGUUCUUUUCGUUUUGAAUUCAGCUUGUGUUUGGUUCCUCGGUCUUGUACCCCUUCAGUUCGCCGGCGACGUAAUGGUGAUACCCUUUGUUUUUUGUAUCAUACCUUUUGUGAAUUGUGACAACCAUCCCGUAAUCAUUGUGGCCUCAGCAGAAGUUUUGAACAAUCUUUGCAGCCACUGUUGGGGUGUGUACCAGCAGCCUGGAAGUGACCAGCAGAGCUGACAAAAGCACCCCCUGCUCUGCCCACCUCCGCAGAGUCCUGUCCUCAUCAGAAACGGUAUCGCGGAUGCUCCUCAGGUAGGCGUAGGCAGACUUCAUUGUGUGUUAGCAGUGACAGUGAUGUCUGUACCUAUCUGUGAGUGAGACCCAUUCAUGACACACUAGAAAUGUGUACAUUCUUUUGUUUUCCAUCACGGGUAUAGGUCUUCUGCCAUGAAAGAGAACUAUCAAGGAAAUUCCUGAAAACAAGAUUUGUAAAUUCGAUUUGACCCUCCCAAAUUCAGGGCUGCUCUUUGCAGUGGUCCCUGGCCCAGCAGGUGGCCGGCGUGGCUCCUGUUGGCUCAUGCCAGUGUUGUGCUGGACCCUCGAGUAUGUGACUGUCACCCUUGUCCAAGACUGGUUUUUAACAGUCUUGAUUUGUCAUUUUGAUGCUUUGAAUACUAUAAGGAAAAUGCCACGAAUACCAUAUAAAUACCACACCAAUCUGUUGAACAUAUCUGUGUUUUCUGACAUGGGACCUGCAGAAUAGUAUUUCUUUUAAAUCCUGCAACUUUAUUAUCUAGUAGAAUUCCAAGUAGGUCUGCUUAGACACAUAUUCAGUGAAGAUUGUAUUGUGUGUGAUAUUAUCCUAUCUUUAAUAAAGUCCUACUACUGAAAAACAGGGAUUUGCAAUGAAAAUCAUAGCUAAAUAGGCAGGUUUAGAAAGUUCAAAAUAUUGGAAGUGCUAGAAGGCUGCAACUUGUAAAAUUGUACUCCCCAAGUUCAGUAGGAUAGUAGAGAAGUCGUGCUAAGUUGAUUUCAUUGAAAUGUCACGUCUCACAUCCUGUGGUCCAAAGGUACUAGUUUGUUUUGUGGAAUAAUUUUCUGUUCACUUGCUGAUAAGAAAUUUAGCAGUCAGAAGUAAUUUUUAAUUAAUAACCUUUCUUUUUAAAAGUUGCUUUAUGGUUUACAAGUAAUACUGAUGCAAAAAGGAUUUGUUAACCUAAAUUAAGUAGCACGCACUUUGUUUACAUGCUUCAGUAUAUUGUGGGGUUGGUCCCUUCUCACGAACCCAGGACCUGUGCUUGGGGAACAUUUUGCCAUCAUGCUGUUCUCUUGUACCAAGGAUCAGUGAAAGUGUUUUAUCUUUUUUAUGUAGUUUGUAUUGACUGGAUUUUAUAACUGUAAGAAAACAGAAACAGAGUGUUGUAUUUUGAUCUGAAAUUUGUGUAUGCUAAAGUAAUUUUGUUUUAUGUAUUGGAAGUUCACUUAAAAACUUGAAAUAUUUUCUAGAAGGGUACCACACAAAAGGAAUCAUCUUUAAGCUGUUUAAUUAACCUAAUAAAAUAAUUUGAUGGGGAAGGCAUUCUAAUUGUUUCUGAUUUUUAGAGUGGUUCCUGCUAAAUCAUCAUUAUCAAUACAGCUUGAUUUGAUUUAAGAA